rnacentral:rRNA from 1 species
UGGGGAAUAUUGCACAAUGGGCGAAAGCCUGAUGCAGCAACGCCGCGUGAGUGAUGAAGGCCUUAGGGUUGUAAAGCUCUUUCAGCUGGGAAGAUAAAUGACGGUACCAGCAGAAGAAGCCCCGGCUAACUCCGUGCCAGCAGCCGCGGUAAUACGGAGGGGGCUAGCGUUGUUCGGAAUUACUGGGCGUAAAGCGCACGUAGGCGGAUUAGUCAGUCAGAGGUGAAAUCCCAGGGCUCAACCCUGGAACUGCCUUUGAUACUGCUAGUCUUGAGGUUGAGAGAGGUGAGUGGAAUUCCGAGUGUAGAGGUGAAAUUCGUAGAUAUUCGGAGGAACACCAGUGGCGAAGGCGGCUCACUGGCUCGAUACUGACGCUGAGGUGCGAAAGCGUGGGGAGCAAAUCAGGAUUAGAUACCCUGGUAGUCCACGCCGUAAACGAUGAAUGCCAGUCGUCGGGUUGCAUGCAAUUCGGUGACACACCUAACGGAUUAAGC